CACAAUUCUCACUGAAAUCACUUGAAACUCACAAAAGUAACAAUAAAUAAAAAUUUAUUGAAAAUUAAAUAAUCAAAAACAGCCAUUACUUUUGAAUUGUUGAUUAACAUAAUUAUUUAAAAAAACAAACUAAUGAAACAAGCCUGGACAAAAAUGAUGGUACCUCUAUAAAAGAUUGAAAACUAUUUGACCAGAGUGACAUGAUUAACUCAGGUGUGUCGUUUAAUUGACAUCACAGGUGUUUCCAAACUCAUAAUCAGUCAGUCUGCCUAUUUAAAGGGAGACAAGUAGUCACCCUGCUGUUUGGUGAAAAGGUGUGUACCACACUGAACAUGGACAACAGAAAGCGAAGGAGAGAAUUGUCCCAGGACAUCCGAAAAAAAAUGAUAGACAAACAUCUUAAAGGUAAAGGCUAUAAGACCAUCUCUAAACAGCUUGACGUUCCUGUGACAACAGUGGCUCAUAUUAUUCAGAAGUUCAAGACCCACGGGACAGUAGCCAACCUCCCUGGACGUGGCCGCAAGAGGAAAAUUGAUGACAAAUUGAAGAGACGGAUCGUUGGAAUUGUAUCCAAAGAGCCCAGAGCAACCUCCAAAGAAAUUAAAGGUGAACUCCAAGGCCAAGGUACAUCAGUGUCAGAUCGCACCAUUCGUCGUUGUUUGAGCCAAAGUGGACUUCAUGGGAGACGACCAAGGAGGACACCACUGCUGAAAAAAACUCAUAAAAAAAGCGAGACUAGAAUUUGCAAAAAUGCAUGUUGACAAGCCACAAAGCUUCUGGAAGAAUGUCCUUUGGACAGAUGAGACCAAACUGGAGCUUUUUGGUAAGGCACAUCAACUCUAUGUUCAUAGACUCAAAAACCAAGCAUACGAAGAAAAGAACACUGUCCCUACGGUGAAACAUGGAGGAGGCUCAGUAAUGUUUUGGGGCUGCUUUGCUGCAUCUGGCACAGGGUGUCUUGAAAGUGUGCAAGGUACGAUGAAAUCUGAAGACUAUCAAGGCAUUCUGGAGAGAAAUGUGCUGGCUAGUGUCAGAAAGCUUGGUCUCAGUCGCAGGUCAUGAGUCUUCCAACAGGACAACGAUCCAAAACACACAGCCAAAAACACCCAAGAAUGGCUGAGAGAAAAGCGUUGGACUAUUCUAAAGUGGCCUUCUAUGAGCCCAGAUCUGAAUCCCAUUGAACAUAUGUGGAAGGAGCUGAAACAUGCCAUUUGGAGAAGACACCCAUCAAACCUGAGACAACUGGAGCUGUUUGCUCAUGAGGAGUGGGCCAAAAUACCUGUUGACAGCUGCAGAACGCUCAUUGACAAAUACAGAAAUCGUUUAAUUGCAGUGA